rnacentral:rRNA from 1 species
AGUGAACGCUGGCGGUAGGCCUAACACAUGCAAGUCGAACGGCAGCACAGUAAGAGCUUGCUCUUACGGGUGGCGAGUGGCGGACGGGUGAGGAAUACAUCGGAAUCUACUUUUUCGUGGGGGAUAACGUAGGGAAACUUACGCUAAUACCGCAUACGACCUACGGGUGAAAGCAGGGGAUCUUCGGACCUUGCGCGAUUGAAUGAGCCGAUGUCGGAUUAGCUAGUUGGCGGGGUAAAGGCCCACCAAGGCGACGAUCCGUCGCUGGUCUGAGAGGAAGAUCAGCCACGAUGGAACUGAGAAAGGGGACAGGCCCAGACGGGCGGCCGGGGGGGGGAAUAUUGGAAAAGGGGCGAAAGCCUGACCCAGCCAACCCGGGGGGGUGAAGAAGGCCUUCGGGUUGUAAAGCCUUUUUUUUGGGAAAAAAAAGAAGCAGGUUAAUCCCCCGCUGUUCUGACGGUACCCAAAGAAAAAGCACCGGCUAACUGCGU